ACACCACCACAACCACAACUACCACCAUCAUCAUCUACUGCUCAACACUGCUUAAGAAUUGAAGAAUCUAUGGCAUACUAAUAUUGACCCUUAGAAAAUUCUUACAUUAAUGUCUUAACUUCCAAAAAUAAUCCAAAUUAAUUUAUAUCAUAAUAAAACUGAUUGGUCUAAUUCAAACCAAAGCCAAAAUUUUGUAUUUUUUUUUAAAUCUGUCCAUUAAUCGGCUAUUAAAUAAAAUUCUGUAAGAAUAUUGACUAAAAAUGGAAGUUUUCUUUAUUAACAAGGCCCACCAUAUUGUGAUAUUAAAAGCCCUCCAC
rnacentral:lncRNA from 1 species